rnacentral:rRNA from 1 species
UAACCUGCCCAAGAGAUCGGGAUAACACCUGGAAACAGAUUCUAAUACCGGAUAACAACAGAUGAUGCCUAUCAACUGUUUAAAAGAUGGUUCUGCUAUCACUCUUGGAUGGACCUGCGGUGCAUUAGCUAGUUGGUAGGGUAACGGCCUACCAAGGCGAUGAUGCAUAGCCGAGUUGAGAGACUGAUCGGCCACAUUGGGACUGAGACACGGCCCAAACUCCUACGGGAGGCAGCAGCC